rnacentral:rRNA from 1 species
AUACGUAGGUGGCAAGCGUUGUCCGGAUUUAUUGGGCGUAAAGCGAGCGCAGGCGGUUUCUUAAGUCUGAUGUGAAAGCCCCCGGCUCAACCGGGGAGGGUCAUUGGAAACUGGGAGACUUGAGUGCAGAAGAGGAGAGUGGAAUUCCAUGUGUAGCGGUGAAAUGCGUAGAUAUAUGGAGGAACACCAGUGGCGAAGGCGACUCGCUGGGCUGUAACUGACGCUGAGGCUCGAAAGCGUGGGGAGCAAACAGGAUUAGAUACCCUGGUAGUCCACGCCGUAAACGAUGAGUGCUAAGUGUUGGAGGGUUUCCGCCCUUCAGUGCUGCAGCUAACGCAUUAAGCACUCCGCCUGGGGAGUACGACCGCAAGGUUGAAACUCAAAUGAAUUGACGGGG